GGUGCAGCUCUGCGGUAGAGCACUUGCCUAUUAUGCAAGAAAUCCUGGGUUUGAUCCCCAGCACCA
rnacentral:tRNA from 1 species